UGGUGCAAGCUCCCGGGUAGAUUACCCGGGGACGAUAGAGACAAUGCCAGAGCGCUCAAGUACGAAAAAUGUAUCACAAAUGGUAAAACUUGAUAAAAUAAACAAGUUGCAUACCUGAAAUGCUUGUACACUAUAUGGAAACUCAUCUUAACAGAAGGAAAUCCCUUGCAGUCGGAGCUGUGGACAUCUUGUUUACAUCAGUAACGCUAUAUUACGGAACGUGACGUUUCUACGCUAUAACGUUAGACGAAACGAAUUCAAUGUAUCGAUACAGAUUUUCAACGUUUAAACUCGUCUAAUCAACUAUUUUGCACCUCAAACUAUUUAAACGCGGACCUUAGGGCACUGAAUGCUGCUGGUAAAUUAUGACACUUUAAAUCAUGUUUAUAUAUGUGUACCUUCUGUUGUUCAGAUGAAGUUUACUAGUUGAUUGUGUUUUUUUCUUCAGUUCCCGGCAAGUGACAGAAAGUUCAAACCAAAUUAAUCAGUUUUAAUUUUUCCGUAUAUCAUGGUUCCUUUCAGUAAAUGACAGGACAAUUAUUAUAAUAAAUUUCUUCAUUAAUUUAUCAUCACACUUUUAUUUUUUUAACAAUUUUUAUAUCCCGAAAUUCCAUGAAAAAUCCCGAAUAUUUAAUUUGGGGUUGCCGUACGGCCAACAGGCGGCUCUGUCUAUUUCCUUGCGAUAACAUAUAUCAACCUUUUUGAAUGUGAAUUAAUUGUUACUUAUGACAAAAUGAAGAACAACUUUAAUACUGACGAUUUUCAUUUUCUCUCAUUUUUUUUUUAAAGUUCUUGUUAAUACUUCAACGCGGUUAAGUCUUUUUUUUUUCUAAGCAGCGAAUGAUAAGUCUGAAAUUGUUUUCUCCAUUAAAGUCUUUUAUAUAAAAGUGUAUUCAAUUUAACAUUGUAAUUUAAUGCAAUUUAAAUCAUUUUUCUUUCUUUCAAAUUAAAGAAACACAUACUUGCUAUUAACAUAUGGACCAAAAUAAAGUAUUUUGGAUGGUGAUUAAUCAUUUUCCAAGUCCAGUUUCCAAAAUCGUAUCAGGGCCAGACCAUCUCCGUUAACAUUCGGAUUGAAAAAUUGUUAAAAAAUAAAAGUGUAAUGAUUAGUUGAUGAAGAGAUUUCAUAUUGUCCCGUCAUUGACUGAAAAUUUACGAAGAAACGGAAUAAUCGUUCGAGUUAUAUUAGAUUCUUUUUUUUUUAGUCCUAGAAGAUAUGGCCAACUAUGAAAACAUUCCUUUUAUAUAUAUACAGGUAACGAAUAGGUAACGAAUAGGGAAUGGAAAGGUAAAAAAAGGUACGAAUAGGGAAUGGGAAUAGGGAAUAGGUAACCAACUUGACGUCCAUGGUGUGAAUGUGUUUUUUUUUACUCGCAGAAAACGUUCAUACAUCCGACCGUUAAUGCAGCAAGUUCUUUAAUUAUGAAAUCAUUAGAAAAUAAAAAUUCUUUUUGUUUUGGUAACUAUGUGACAUUUUUAACUGUUAAUUUCCAUAGAUGCAGAGUGCCGACAGAUUUGUUGCAAAACGUAACGGUUAUUUGACAUUGAUUGCUUUAUCGUUUUCCCCGGAAUAUUCUGCUCAUUGUUGACCUUCAAAAAUAUCAUUUUUAAAUAUUCUAUUGAUACCUAAGCAUCUGCAAGAUUUAUCUAUUAAUAUAUACAUAUACAUGUAUAUAUCUUCUUAUGCAUUACGGACUGAGUUUUAACACUUUAUUUUUUAUUCUUGCAAUAACUUCUCAUUUAUAUUCUUGCAAAAACUUCUCAUUUAUAAUGCACGCCGUAUCCCUAUGAAAUUUUGUUUUGGAAGUAGGAAUUUAAUUUAUAGAAACUCAGGUUGAUGUAUGAAAAUCCGGGAAUUGUAACCCUAUUAAUGCAAUUUCGUUAAUCCCAUCCGUUUGAAUAUGAUCACAAAAAACACCGAUAGAAAAAUAGAAAAACGAAAUUUAUUGGACUGAAAGAAUACGGAUUGAAUUAGGAAAAAGCAAAACACAAGCAGACGUUGAAACUCAUGAUCAUACAAAAAUUAGUUUGUUAGCCAUGGAAUGAGAAGAAAAAAAUGGUUAUUGUUUGAAUAACUUUCCCUGUAUUCCAAGUAAAAACAGUCUCUGAAAUUCAUUGUUCUGUACAGAAGAAAUCCGAUAUAGAACCGAUAUGGUUUCUGGAUUUUUUUUAGUGUUGGUGUUUCUUUGUGUGAAUAAAUGGAGAUAUGGGAUAUACAAUAAGAUAGCAAAGGCUAUGCAAUUAUAACGACAUCAAAACCAUAGACAUUUUUCAGUUUCCUAGUACAUAUUUGUUUAAGUCGUUAAACUUCUAAUUGAACUUCUGGAGAAAAAUCAAACCAUAAUGAAAUCAGGAGAUGUGGUAUAGUUGACAAUGAAACAAUUUUCCACCAAAGACCAACUGACGUACAUGAUAGCUUGCUAACAUUGGUACAUUUGAUAACAC
rnacentral:lncRNA from 1 species